CUAAGAAUAUUCCGCAAUGGACGGAAGUCUGACGGAGCGACGCCGCGUGGAUGACGAAGGCCGAAAGGUUGUAAAGUUCUUUUGCUGGGGAAGAAUAACCGCAGGAGGGAAUGCCUGUGGGAUGACAAGAACCGGCGAAUAAGCCCCGGCCAACUACGUGCCAGCAGCCGCGGUAACACGUAGGGGGGCGAGCGUUGUUCGGAAUUACUGGGCGUAAAGGGCAUGUAGGCGGCUUGGAAAGCCUGGCGUGAAAGUCUGCAGCUUAACUGCAGGGGUGCGCUGGGAACUGCUGAGCUUGAGUGACGGAGAGGGAGCUGGAAUUCCUGGUGUAGGGGUGAAAUCUGUAGAUAUCAGGAAGAACACCGAUGGCGAAGGCAAGCUCCUGGCCGAUGACUGACGCUGAGGUGCGAAAGUGUGGGGAUCAAACAGGAUUAGAUACCCUGGUAGUCCACACAGUCAACGAUGUGCACUAGGUGCUGGGGCGGUAGCUUCGGUGCCGGAGCGAACGUGGUGAAGUGCACCGCCUGGGGAGUAUGCUCGCAAGGGUG
rnacentral:rRNA from 1 species